AUUGAACGCUGGCGGCAGGCCUAACACAUGCAAGUCGAACGGUAACAGGAAGCAGCUUGCUGCUUCGCUGACGAGUGGCGGCCGGGUGAGUAAUGUCUGGGAAGCUGCCUGAUGGAGGGGGAUAACUACUGGAAACGGUAGCUAAUACCGCAUAAUGUCGCAAGACCAAAGAGGGGGACCUUCGGGCCUCUUGCCAUCGGAUGUUCCCAGAUGGGAUUAGCUUGUUGGUGGGGUAACGGCUCACCAAGGCGACGAUCCCUAGCUGGUCUGAGAGGAUGACCAGCCACACUGGAACUGAGACACGGUCCAGACUCCUACGGGAGGCAGCAGUGGGGAAUAUUGCACAAUGGGCGCAAGCCUGAUGCAGCCAUGCCGCGUGUAUGAAGAAGGCCUUCGGGUUGUAAAGUACUUUCAGCGGGGAGGAAGGGAGUAAAGUUAAUACCUUUGCUCAUUGACGUUACCCGCAGAAGAAGCACCGGCUAACUCCGUG
rnacentral:rRNA from 1 species